AGAAGGGAUUUGUGCUCUCCUCCUGGUUGCUAUGAUGAGACAGAUGUGGAACAUUUCAUUUUCCUGGACUGUGUAGACUUCAGCUGUCAUCUCUACUGAGGAGGUGGGACCCAAGGUGCUAGGUUCCCACCUCAGCAGAACCUCCACCCACCUUUCAGCCCUGAAGCCAUCAUGUGACUCGUACUAGGAAAGUCCACCUGUGAUGAUGAUGACCAGUGAGGGCUAAACACCAGGGGUCUCCCAAAUGUUCUCAGCCAUAUACGAAUUUCAGGCUCUACACUGGACCUGGAUGAAGAGGGGUGAUGGAGCCCCAAUAAUAACCACAGUUGAUUUUUCCACACCCCAUUGAUCAGAUUAAAUAUAAUUUAGAAAAAUAACCAAUGUGGCAUUUUUUAAAAUCUGAGAUGUAAAAU
rnacentral:lncRNA from 1 species